UUUUUCCUGCUUAGUGCGUGAUAAGGCGAUAUAUUCGAGCGACACUUAUAAAACGGAGUCCAAUAUCCAAUAUCGGGAUGCAGGCCUCCCACACCUUCCCUCUUAAUGAGGCUUUUGCCGGACUGGAAGAAUGUGGACGUUGGAAGCAACAAAGAUAUUAUGAGGACACCACCCUUGUUUAAAACAAAGGUUCUGAAAGUUGCUUUACACGGCUACGCGGGUCUUAC
rnacentral:other from 1 species